rnacentral:rRNA from 1 species
ACUCACCGAUAAAGAGUUGAGUGGCGAACGGGUGAGUAACACGUGGGCAACCUGCCCAAAAGAGGGGGAUAACACUUGGAAACAGGUGCUAAUACCGCAUAACCAUAGUUACCGCAUGGUAACUAUGUAAAAGGUGGCUAUGCUACCGCCUUGGAUGGGCCCGCGGCGCAUUAGCUAGUUGGUGGGGUAAAGGCUUACCCAAGGCAAUGAUGCGUAGCCGAACUGAGAGGUUGAUCGGCCACAUUGGGACUGAGACACGGCCCAAACUCCUACGGGAGGCAGCAGUAGGGAAUCUUCCACAAUGGGCGAAAGCCUGAUGGAGCAACGCCGCGUGGGUGAAGAAGGUCUUCGGAUCGUAAAACCCUGUUGUUAGAGAAGAAAGUGCGUGAGAGUAACUGUUCACGUUUCGACGGUAUCUAACCAGAAAGCCACGGCUAACUACGUGCCAGCAGCCGCGGUAAUACGUAGGUGGCAAGCGUUAUCCGGAUUUAUUGGGCGUAAAGGGAACGCAGGCGGUCUUUUAAGUCUGAUGUGAAAGCCUUCGGCUUAACCGGAGUAGUGCAUUGGAAACUGGGAGACUUGAGUGCAGAAGAGGAGAGUGGAACUCCAUGUGUAGCGGUGAAAUGCGUAGAUAUAUGGAAGAACACCAGU